GCGCCCGUAACUCAGCGGUGAGAGUGCCCGUCCGAUGAACGGGAAGUCGGAGGUUCAAGUCCUCCCGAGCGCA
rnacentral:tRNA from 1 species